rnacentral:rRNA from 1 species
CGCAAGGGGUGACUGCGUACCUUUUGUAUAAUGGGUCAGCGACUUACGUUCAGUAGCGAGCUUAACCGAAUAGGGGAGGCGUAGGGAAACCGAGUCCGAAUAGGGCGCUUUAGUUGCUGGGCGUAGACCCGAAACCGAGUGAUCUAUCCAUGGCCAGGAUGAAGGUGCGGUAACACGCACUGGAGGUCCGAACCCACUAGUGUUGCAAAACUAGGGGAUGAGCUGUGGAUAGGGGUGAAAGGCUAAACAAACUCGGAGAUAGCUGGUUCUCCCCGAAAACUAUUUAGGUAGUGCCUCAUGUAUCACUUCCGGGGGUAAAGCACUGUUAUGGCUAGGGGGUCAUUGCGAUUUACCAAACCAUGGCAAACUCUGAAUACCGGAAAGUGCAAGCAUGGGAGACAGACGGUGGGUGCUAACGUCCAUCGUCAAGAGGGAAACAACCCAGACCGCCAGCUAAGGUCCCAAAUGAUCAGUUAAGUGGUAAACGAGGUGGGAAGGCCUAGACAGCCAGGAUGUUGGCUUAGAAGCAGCCAUCAUUUAAAGAAAGCGUAAUAGCUCACUGGUCGAGUCGUCCUGCGCGGAAGAUGUAACGGGGCUCAAACUGAUAACCGAAGCUGCGGAUGCACAGUUUACUGUGCGUGGUAGGGGAGCGUUCUGUAGGUCUGUGAAGGUGUGUCGUAAGGCAUGCUGGAGAUAUCAGAAGUGCGAAUGCUGACAUGAGUAGCGAUAAAGCGGGUGAAAAGCCCGCUCGCCGAAAGCCCAAGGUUUCCUACGCAACGUUCAUCGGCGUAGGGUGAGUCGGCCCCUAAGGCGAGGCUGAAAAGCGUAGUCGAUGGGAAACGGGUUAAAAUUCCCGUACUUUCGUAUAGUGCGAUGUGGGGACGGAGAAGGUUAGGUCAGCCAGGUGUUGGAUGUCCUGGUUUAAGCCGGUAGGCGGAGAGAUUAGGCAAAUCCGGUCUCUCUUAACGCCGAGACGUGAUGACGAGGCACUACGGUGCCGAAGUGACUGAUACCACGCUUCCAGGAAAAGCCACUAAGCUUCAGCUAUACGAGAACCGUACCGCAAACCGACACAGGUGGGCAGGAUGAGAAUUCUAAGGCGCUUGAGAGAACUCAGGAGAAGGAACUCGGCAAAUUGAUACCGUAACUUCGGGAGAAGGUAUGCCCGUUGUGGUGAAAUCCCUGCGGAUGGAGCUGCGACGGGUCGCAGAGAAUCGGUGGCUGCGACUGUUUAACAAAAACACAGCACUGUGCCAACACGAAAGUGGACGUAUACGGUGUGACGCCUGCCCGGUGCCGGAAGGUUAAGUGAUGGGGUGCAAGC